GUGAUGUUUGACAGACCCGACCCCCCAGCCAAGCUCAGCUUCAGCACGCUGGUCUCUGAGAAGAGGCUAGUAUCCAGCGUCCCACCUGCCUCAGGGGGUUGUUUGAGCCGAUGGAUAAUGACGGUGAAAGCAUCACCGUGACAAGUCGAGAUGCCAAUCAAUUGAAAUGCAGCUGUGACCGUCUCACAACUAACUCCGAAUGACUAGCCAGCUUAACUUAGUGCUAAAAUGAUUUCUUCCCUACGCAUUUCAGUUCAAAAGAUAAAAAUUAUGUCAACAGAGCUAUUAAAAUUUUAGCUAAUAAGAGAAUCGUUUUUGUUGUGCUGAUAAACCUACAGCUUUAUUUAAAUUGCACAGCUGUCAUUGUAGUAAAACGUGUACACGAGGAUACGGAGAUUCAUGGACUCUAACAAGCAAAGAAACCCAAAUGCGAGAAUGCCUUUCGGGAGGCGUGAGCACCAACCUAACAGAAGAAGUAACACAGAGGCCAUGAUGUAGAUUCCACGACUCCGAAGAAAAGAAAGAAGAUGGGGUCUCCAGCAGGAAAAUGUUAAGAAGCAUCGUUAAGUGGAAAGCGUAAAACCAAACACGACAAAGCAGACAAAAAGUAUAUAACAACCAAAUAAAACAAAAACCAACAGGUCAGUAGGAAGAGAGACAAGGAGGCUGCUCGGCCGGCUGCAAAGAGAUGGGGAGGGGUUCUCAGGGAGAACUUGACCUUGCCGAGUCCCUGGCCAUGGUCUCCGGGGCGGGACUGGCCGGUGUGAGACGGGCCAGUGGUGACCUUGGGGGGCACACAGAUGGGUCUGUUUUAACUAUUAUAUGUUCAUCUUAAUUGCAUUACAAAAUCAUAUUUAGUAUAUGAAACCUUGGAAUUCAGUGAUAUCAAGGCAAGGAGAAGCGGAAGUUGGUAUGUAUGUUUUGAAAGGAAGUCAAUCUGAGCAAAACUGUUAGGUGAAUAACAUUACGGUUGGUGCUCAGAUGUGGUAAACUGUACAAUGCAGAUGUUAUGUGAGUGAAUGAGGACUGGAGACAAACGACGGAUGGGAAGAUGUUCUAAUUAGGCUAAUUCUUUAAGGAUUAAUUUAUCAUUAGAAUUAAAUUUUUUUUUUAAUUUUUUUAAUGUUUAUUUAUUUUUGACAGAGAGAGAUAGAGCAUGAGUCGGGGAGGAGCAGAGAGAGGGGGAGGCACAGAAUCCGAAGCAGGCUCCAGGCUCCCAGCUGUCAGCACAGAGCCCGACGCGGAGCUCGAACUCAUAAACCGCGAGGUCAUGACCUGAGCCGAAGUCGGACGCUCAACCGACUGAGCCACCCAGGUGCCCCUAUAAUUAGAAGUUUAUACAGUAGUCAAAAGACAACUGUUUUGGGAGGUGGGGGGCACGGAAUCUUUCAGAAGUUCAUCUGAAAGAUCACAGAAGAACCAAGGGGGGCUAGGAGCAGCUGUCACGACACCAGACGUUAGACCCUCUUACGACCGCGGAUGGACAAGAGUGUGUCAUCCGUUCGGAGGAGAGGACGUCCAGAAGCCGGUGCGAGACGGUAUGAGGCUGCGGCGGAUACCGGCAUGUCUGUCCCACGGGCACCGGGCUGGGGGACGGGGAACACAGCGGGGUGACCCAGGGUGGGGCAUCUGCAAGGGAACAGCACGUUGACGAGCCGACCGACAGGCGUUUGUGUCACAUCACGACAACAGCCACGGAGGACAGACCGUGGUGCGAGCAACUUGCAAAGGGGGGACCCGCAAUUCUUGCUACGCAGAGGACUUCAUCUGUGGCCUCAAAGUACAUAACUGACGAGCUGAGAAGAUGUUUUCAUGCACGAAGUAAAAUAAGGCAGAAUAAGUUGUGAUAUUUUUGAGCACUUAUUACAUACUAGGAUGAUGCUGGUUCUGUCAUUCAAUAAUGUCAAUAAUCCAGUGAAAUGGGGACUAACUUAUUUAUACUUUCGCCCAGAGGAAACUGAGCCCGAGCUGGCCAGCGGCAGGCACACCCAGCCGUCCAAGCGCGAGCUCUCUUUCUUUUUUAAAAACCCCUUUAUUGAGAAAUAAUGGAGAUACAGAAACCGGGACACGUGUGCCGUGUACGAUUUGACGGCUUUGCACGUAUUCACGCACCUGUGACACUGUCCCCGCGGUCCUGACGAUGGAUGUAUCCGUCGCCCCCAGAAGUUUCCUGCUGUCCCUUUUGUCUGUGGUAAGAACAGCAUGAGAUCCAGCCCCUGAAGUUUCUGAGCGCACGACACCGUGUUGUUCCCCACAGGUGCCGUGGGGCACGACAGAAAUCUAGAACGGGUUCAUCUUGCAUAACUGGAAGAACUUGUACCCGUUGAACAUCUCCCCAUUUUCUCCUCCUCCCGGACCCCGGUAACCUCCGUUUUGCUCUCUGCUUCUGAGUCUGACCCUGGCAGAGUCCUCCAGGGGGAACCACGCAGUAUUCCCUCCUCUGUGAUGGACUCAUUUCACUUAGUGCAGCGUCCUCCACAUUCAGCCACGUUGUCACAAACGGAUUUCCUUCCUUUCUUAAGCCUGACCGAUGCUCUAAUUUACGUGUAUUCCACAUUUUCUCGCCAUAGAAUUGCCAGAACUUUCUUCUGUUUUGCUUUGUUUGUUUUAGAAGAGCCGUCCUCACGGGCAUGAGUGGGUAUCUCAUGGUGGUUUUGAUUUGCAUCUCCCUGGCAAUGAGUCACGUCGAGCAUCUUUUCACGUGUCUGCUGGCCAUCCGUGUAUCGUCUUUGGAGAAAUGUCUAGUCGAGUCAUUAGCCCCCUUUUUUUUUUCAUCUGGUCUUGGCAACGAAGGCACGGAUAGGACACCAAAAGCAGAGUCAACAAAAGCAUCAACAAACAAGCGGGACUACAUCAAACUAAAGGCUUCUGCACCGCAAAGGGGACCACCAACAGAACGAGAAGGCGGCAUGACGAGAUGUUUGCAAACCACAUGCCUGAUGAGAGAUUAAUAUCCAAACUAUAUAAGGAAAUCAUACAAUACCAAAUAUUAAAAACAAAAACAAAUACACAAUAACCCAAUGGAAAAAUGGGCAAAGAACUUAAAAAAAUAUUUCUUCCGGGGCACCCGGGUGGCUCAGUCAGUUAA